UGGGGGAUAUUGCACAAUGGGGGAAACCCUGAUGCAGCGACGCCGCGUGAGUGAAGAAGUAUUUCGGUAUGUAAAGCUCUAUCAGCAGGGAAGAAGAUGACAGUACCUGACUAAGAAGCCCCGGCUAACUACGUGCCAGCAGCCGCGGUAAUACGUAGGGGGCAAGCGUUAUCCGGAUUUACUGGGUGUAAAGGGAGCGUAGACGGUUAUGUAAGUCUGGAGUGAAAGCCCGGGGCCCAACCCGGACUGCUUGGAAACUGUGUAACUAGAGUACAGGAGGGGCAGGCGGAAUUGCCUGGUGUAGCGGUGAAAUGCGUAGAUAUCAGGAGGAACACCGGCGGCGAAGGCGGCCUGCUGGACUGAAACUGAACGUUGUAGGCUGCGAAAAGCGUGGGGGAGCAAAACAGGAUUAGAUACCC
rnacentral:rRNA from 1 species